rnacentral:tRNA from 1 species
AGCUAAUGAGCUUGAAUAUAAGCAUAUGUUUUGAAAACAUAAGAUAGAAAAUUAAUUUUCUAUUGGCUU